GGUUAAGCGACUAAGCGUACACGGUGGAUGCCCUGGCAGUCAGAGGCGAUGAAGGACGUGCUAAUCUGCGAAAAGCGCCGGCGAGGUGAUAUGAACCUUUGACCCGGCGAUGUCCGAAUGGGGAAACCCAGUGUGUUCCGACACACUAUCGUUAACUGAAUACAUAGGUUAACGAGG
rnacentral:rRNA from 1 species